UUUGCUUCCUUCUUUUGAGUGUCAAGAGCUUAUCGUGUCAUUCAGCAGAAUAGGGAGACUUCAUCUAAAAUUGGAAAAUGAAAAUGACCUUUGAGCAAACUAUUCUUUUGCAAAUCUUCACCCCUCGUUGAUUCACACACCACCUUCGCUUCCUCAGAAAUGCCCUUGACAGCAAUGGAAAGAAAGGGGACAUACCGCAGUUUCAAUUGUUGUGGGACUCAGGUUUUCUCUCAGCACUGCGUACACACUUGGUGACAUGGGAAGAAGGUCUGUUGGAGAAUGUGUUUCCGUUGAAUCACUUCGGCUUAAAGAGAUGACAGGGCAUAGAGGUGAAGUUGGUGCCACUCCUAUUAGAAAGGAGAAAACCGAAACUCUACCAGUGGCUGAGAGGCUCCCAUGGCCAUGGUGAAGUCCGUCUACAGCUACUGAUUACUAAGUGCUCUGCUAGCUGGACAGCCCCAGCUCUUCCUUUUCAGGAACUGCUGACACACCACUUCAUUUCUAAGGCUUUGACCUCCACAUACCUCUUAGAUCUUAUAACGAUAAAAGUAAACAUAAAGGGAAGGACUUCAUUUACUUUACUCCAAUCUGAGAUUAUUUUCCAAAAUCUUAAGAAGCAAAGCAAACGGAAAGAACCUAACCUUCACAUGGC